rnacentral:ncRNA from 14 species
GCUCUGACUUUAUUGCACUACU